GGUUUGAGUUAUUUCGGAACUUCAAAGUUUAGUUGAUUUAUAUGUUAUUUAACAUCAAUUGUGGUUAUGUUGUUAGGUUUGAGAAAAGAGUAAGGUAUGUCUCUCGCAAGGCUCGGGCUGAUGUCAGAAAACGUGUGAAGGGACGAUUUGUGAAAGCUGGUGAUGUUUAUGACUAUGACCCUUUAAGCGAAACCGGAAACUACUAACUACUAAGUGUAGUUAUUGUUACCCGAAAAUGGAUGAAGUUUGAUGCAUUCUUUCUCCAUGCAAUGACAAGAUUUAUGGCUUUAUCACAGGGGCCUAGAAUUUCUUCAAGGGAAGAACUUUGUAACAAGGUCAUGUCGAGACUUCAGUAGAAGCCCAACAACAGAUUAUGUGUCCUCCACUACAAAGGAUAUCCAAGUUGUGAUGUCAGCUAACAUGACUAUAUAACAAAGUCCCCCCAUAAGACACAUAGUGCCCUUUGUUCUAUGGACUUUGACUUUCUCUUUGCAAAAUCCUGUUUCUUAGUACUUUUCUAAGAAUGCAAAGUUCAUGUUAGUCCUUCAUGUUCCAUGUGGUCCAAGUCACAUGUAGAAAUGUUGAUAACUAUUAUGAUAAGUGGCUCAAUUUGAUAAGAGUUAUAAAUAAGCUACAUUGUGCAGUAUGCUUUAUUGUUUUUCCUCUUUAAGUUUGAUAAGUAUAGCAUAAAAUAUACAUCUAUGUAGUUAGAGGGUGUAAUUGGUAACAGAUCUGAGGCGUGAUAAAUUGUAAAUUCGAAGGUUAUGUAUAGUAUGAUGAGAUGCUAUUUAUAUUGGAC
rnacentral:lncRNA from 1 species